GGAAUCAUGAGCCUGACAGAAGCCUUGAACGCAUUCCAAUCUUGUGUUUGCAAGGCAUGGAAGUUCAUCAUCAGAGUUUCAGUCAUGACCAGAAAGCUCAGCCAGAAUCCUGCCAUGGGACUUUGAGGUAUUACAUGCCCUAUUAGUAUCAAAUAGGAGCA